AGAGUUUGAUCCUGGCUCAGGAUGAACGCUAGCGACAGGCUUAACACAUGCAAGUCGAGGGGCAGCGAGGGAGUGGCAACACUUCUGUCGGCGACCGGCGCACGGGUGAGUAACGCGUAUGCAACCUGCCCUUCACAGGGGGAUAACCGGGAGAAAUUCCGACUAAUACCGCAUACGUCCUCCGGGGGCAUCCCCGGGGGAUGAAAGAGUUAUCGGUGAAGGAUGGGCAUGCGUGAUAUUAGGUAGUUGGCGGGGCAACGGCCCACCAAGCCCACGAUAUCUAGGGGUUCUGAGAGGAAGGUCCCCCACAUUGGUACUGAGACACGGACCAAACUCCUACGGGAGGCAGCAGUGAGGAAUAUUGGUCAAUGGACGAGAGUCUGAACCAGCCAAGUAGCGUGAAGGAUGACUGCCCUAUGGGUUGUAAACUUCUUUUAUACGGGAAUAACAUCAUCCACGUGUGGGUGUCUGCAUGUACCGUAUGAAUAAGCAUCGGCUAACUCCGUGCCAGCAGCCGCGGUAAUACGGAGGAUGCGAGCGUUAUCCGGAUUUAUUGGGUUUAAAGGGAGCGUAGACGGGUCCUUAAGUCAGUUGUGAAAGUUUGCGGCUCAACCGUAAAAUUGCAGUUGAUACUGGGGACCUUGAGUGCGGCAGAGGCAGGCGGAAUUCGUGGUGUAGCGGUGAAAUGCUUAGAUAUCACGAAGAACUCCGAUUGCGAAGGCAGCUCACUGGACUGCAACUGACAUUGAUGCUCGAAAGUGUGGGUAUCAAACAGGAUUAGAUACCCUGGUAGUCCACACGGUAAACGAUGAAUACUCGCUGUUUGCGAUAUACGGCAAGCGGCCAAGCGAAAGCGUUAAGUAUUCCACCUGGGGAGUACGCCGGCAACGGUGAAACUCAAAGGAAUUGACGGGGGCCCG
rnacentral:rRNA from 1 species